rnacentral:rRNA from 1 species
AACGAACGCUGGCGGCAUGCCUAACACAUGCAAGUCGAACGAGACCUUCGGGUCUAGUGGCGCACGGGUGCGUAACGCGUGGGAUCUGCCCUUUGCUUCGGAAUAACAGUUAGAAAUGACUGCUAAUACCGGAUGAUGUCGUAAGACCAAAGAUUUAUCGGCAAAGGAUGAACCCGCGUAGGAUUAGCUAGUUGGUGGGGUAAAGGCCUACCAAGGCGACGAUCCUUAGCUGGUCUGAGAGGAUGAUCAGCCACACUGGGACUGAGACACGGCCCAGACUCCUACGGGGGGCAGCAGUGGGGAAUAUUGGACAAUGGGCGAAAGCCUGAUCCAGCAAUGCCGCGUGAGUGAUGAAGGCCUUCGGGUUGUAAAGCUCUUUUACCAGGAGUGAUAAUGACAGUACCUGGAGAAUAAGCUCCGGCUAACUCCGUGCCAG